rnacentral:rRNA from 1 species
CCUACGGGGGGCAGCAGUGGGGAAUAUUGGACAAUGGGCGAAAGCCUGAUCCAGCCAUGCCGCGUGUGUGAAGAAGGCCUUCGGGUUGUAAAGCACUUUCAGUGGGGAAGAAAGCCUUGGGGCUAAUACCCUCGAGGAAGGACAUCACCCACAGAAGAAGCACCGGCUAACUCCGUGCCAGCAGCCGCGGUAAUACGGAGGGUGCGAGCGUUAAUCGGAAUUACUGGGCGUAAAGCGCGCGUAGGCGGUCUGAUAAGCCGGUUGUGAAAGCCCCGGGCUCAACCUGGGAACGGCAUCCGGAACUGUCAGGCUAGAGUGCAGGAGAGGUAGGUAGAAUUCCCGGUGUAGCGGUGAAAUGCGUAGAGAUCGGGAGGAAUACCAGUGGCGAAGGCGGCCUUCUGGACUGACACUGACGCUGAGGUGCGAAAGCGUGGGUAGCAAACAGGAUUAGAUACCCCUGUAGUC